GAUUCAUCUCCAUAACUUACUGUCGCAACACAUGGGGCAUGUGUUGCUUAUUCCAUUAAUUUAGCCUAUAAACAUCAAAAUAGUCCAAUUUAAUGUAAACAUUUAUAAAGCAUUUUGCCAGCACAGUGUAAAGACAAUAUUUUAUGAAAUGCCUGAUGAGGAACUUGUUAUCUAUAAAUCUGUGGAUGAGAUUUCAAGGUAAUUUAAGUAUGUUUUAAUUUACAUGGUAAAUAUGUUCACAUGUUUGCCACUUUGAGUUCUGUUUUAUGUUUCAUCAAAACCUUCGAGUAACAUGUAUUGGGAGACUGGAUACAUUAUCCCUAGUGUGCAAUAAUACUUUUAAUUAUUGUUUGUUUUUUAAUGGUUUUCAUCUUUGUUAAAUAAUAUUUUUUAAAAUAUUGUUUUUCCACAUUACGUUUUUAUUCUCUCCCAUCUUACACAUAAUGGACUUCCUAUGUUUCAUAUUACUCUUCUAUUACAUAAAAUGGAGGGAAAAUCUUCUUGAAGACUUAUAG